rnacentral:RNase_P_RNA from 13 species
CGGUCUAUCGCUGCGACAUUUAUUUGUUGGAGAGGAAAGUCCGGGCAACACAGAGCGGCGUACUUCCUAACGGGAAGGUGUUUCAGAGUAAUUUUGAAAUAACAGACAGUGCCACAGAAAAUAUACCGCC